CUUGGCUCUUCAAGUCACCUGGCUUAUUCCCUCCUGAAAAUGCAUUCUCUCUUUCCCUGUUUGGGUGAACGGCUGCUGGCAGGGCCACGGAAGGGAGGGGCCAGAGAUGAAGAAAGGCUUUGCAGUCAGAGCCGAGUUAGGGUUAUGGUCCACUGUAAGAUCUUGGAAAAGAUAUUCUCUGUUUUUUUGAGACAGAGUCUCGCUCUGUCGCCCAGGCUGGAGUGCAGAGGCGUGAUCUCUGCUCACUGCAGUCUCCGCCUCCGGGUUUCAAGCGAUUCUCCUGCCUCAGCCUCCCGAGUAGCUGGGACUGCAGGUGCCCACCACCACACCCGGCUAAUUUUUGUAUUUUUGGUAGAGACAGGGUUUUACUAUAUGUUGGCCAGGCUGGUCUCAAACUCCUGGCCUCUAGUGAUCCACCUGUCUCGGCCUCCCAAGGCGCUGGGGUUACAGGUGUGAGCCACCACACAUCUGGCUGGAAAAGUUACCCUCUAAGCCUUAGUUUCCUUAUUUUGAGGAACGGUCAUCAUGAUGUGUACAUUUUAGGCUUAUGAGUGUUUCCCUGAGAUAAAAUGAGCACCGGUUGGUGUGAGAAGCAGCGAUGAUCUUUCUUUUUUCUGAAUGGCUGUUUCUCUUGUCUCUUCCCCCAAGAUCUGCCUUUCCUGCCCUUUCGACUAAUAAGGGAAGAACUUCUCAAACAAUUCGGCUAUGUAACCUGGAGAUGGGACUUUAUGCAUCAUAGUGACAACUGGCUUCUGCUUCCCUGGGUGUGGUAGUUAGUGGAGAAGGGGAGGGUGCCCUGAGGGAGGGAGGACUCUGCAGAGGAAUGGGCAGCCAAGAGUUGGUUCACCUGUACAAGAAAUCUCCUUGGUGAUCCUGAAUCCAUUCAUGAGUCCAGGAUGUCUCGGUGGUGGAACAACAUCAGGCCUCUGAAAUAGGGAAAGACUCUUGCUGUGUCACCCAGGCUGGAGUCAGUGACGUGAUCUCGGCUCACUGCAACCUCCACUUCCUGGAUUCAAGCGAUUCUCCUGCCUCACCCUCCGGAGUAGCUGGGACUAUAGGGAUGCACCACCAUGCCUAGCUAAUUUUUGUAUUUUUAGUAGAGAUGGGGUUUCACCAUAUUGGCCAGGCUAAUCUCGAACUUCUGAUCUUGUGAUCUGCCCGCCUUGGCCUCCCAAAGUGCUGGGAUUACAGGCGUGAGCCACCGCGCCCAGCCCUCAUGAUGUGUGUUUCUCUAACUCUUAGCAUGAAGUAGGCAUUGAUGACAUAUUUGAUGAGUGAAUGAUGGGAGGAUGGGCAACAAUUUAUUUUCAAGUCGGCUUCUAGAAUUCAACACCACCAGCACGCCAUAGGUGCGGAUGUGUGAGGGUACAACACAGGGCCGCGACAGUCCCUACAACAUUACGCCGUUUCAGCAAGGACUCUUAGAGCAAAAAGUUCCUGACUCCUUUCUUCAGUUACAGGGUCCAGCCCGUGGGGCUGUUCUCUGUGUUUCUUUGAGAAGUAUGCAUGUUCUCCUGGUCCUGUCUGCUUUCUGCUUCAGGCCCCGGAGGAACUCCCAGCUUUGCCACUGACAGAAAAAGAUCCCUUCAGAUCCCCAGUUCUUGGUGGGCAGGUGCUUCCCAGGUGGAACAGAGCCAACCCUUUCUUCUUCAUUGGGCCUCCCUUGGCUUAUGUGGGCUCCUCUUUGAUCUAUUGUCUUAUGGAUACUGGAGGUUUCUUGAAAAAUCCUCCUUUGUUUACCCAAUAGCAGUGAACUCCUCAAGUAAACCGCCUUUUACCAGUGUUCUCCCGCAGGCAUUGAGCACAGGUAGUCUGAAGGCUGUGGUGCCGUUGCCUUGGAGAGGUGUUGGGAGAGGCCUUUUAACUUCCAGCAAGUAGGAGUCAUACUGUGGCAGAAAUGGGGGCCGAAAGCAGGGACCACUUGCUUGUGGAAUUGGAGAGCAGAGGAAGUGAGGCAGGAUGAGAGUUGGAAGGACAGAGAAGUGGAUGUUUGGCAUCGCAGUGGAGAGAGCUCUGUCCAUGUGUGAGGUUUAAAAUCCAUAUCAGGAUUUUCUCCGAAUUCUGGUCAAGUGAAAGUCACAGGACUGUUCUAGGAGCCAAAGGGAGAGGCAAGCCAGGGAUGAUGGGGUGAGGGGUGUUUGGUGAUGCAGUGGGGAGGGCGGUGAGUAGAGAGUGGAGAGGUACAGGUGUGGAGAGGCAGAGGUGAGGCAAAUGGUGUGGCGAGGAGCUCCCUGGGAGACGGUGGAACUGAAGAGUGGAACCAUAGUGGAGUUGGCUUAUAGGCGCUUUCACCCUGGACCCACAUGAGAAUGAUCUAGGGAAUUAAAAAAUAGCCGAAUGUGGGCCAGGCGCAGUGGCUCACGCCUGUAAUACCAGCACUUUACGAGGCCGAGGUGAUACGGAAGGGGGCAAGGAAGUGCUGGGAGGAAAAGGGCAGGUCCUUGGCGGGGGCUCCACCCCUGGGCCUGUGCCCAUGGACCUAGGUGAGGACAGGCACUCCUGACCUCAUGCGCAAAUGUUGCAUUUCCCAAGACCAUCCUGGCCUGCCAUGCCCCGACCCUGUGCCUGUAAAAACCCGAGACCCUAGCAGGCAAGCACACGAGUGGCUGAACGUCUCGAGGAACACAUCGGCGGAAGAAGACUCGUGCAGCUCGACAUUGAGAGGACCCGAGGAGAGCACGCCGGCACACCUGCAGGACUUCCACCCACAGAAUGACGCAGAGUUUGGCUGGGGCGGUCAGGACCACCGAGCGGCUUGACUUCAGGGGCAAACCAUCUCCCUUCUGGCUCCCCCACCUGCUGAGAGCUACUUCCACUCAAUAAAAC
rnacentral:lncRNA from 1 species